ACACAGAACAAUAUGUUAAUUACCCUCUUUACACACAACAAUAUGUUAAUUACCCUCUUUAUACACACCAAUAUGUUAAUUACCCUCUUUAUACACAACAAUAUGUUAAUUAACCUCUUUAUACACACCAAUAUGUUAAUUACCCUCUUUAUACACACCAAUAUGUUAAUUACCCUCUUUAUACACACCAAUAUGUUAAUUACCCUCUAUACACCCCGAUAUGUUAAUUACCCUCUUUAUACACAACAAUAUGUUAAUUACCCUCUUUAUACACAACAAUAUGUUAAUUACCCUCUAUAUACACCCCGAUAUGUUAAUUAUCCUCUUUAUACACAACAAUAUGUUAAUUACCCUCUUAUACACACAGCGAUAUGUUAAUUACCCUCUAUACACAACAAUAUGUUAAUUGCCCUCUUUAUACACAACAAUAUGUUAAUUAGCCUCUUUAUACACACCAAUAUGUUAAUUACCCUCUUUAUACACAACAAUAUGUUAAUUAACCUCUUUAUACACAACAAUAUGUUAAUUACCCUCUUUAUACACACCAAUAUGUUAAUUACCCUCUUUAUACACAACAAUAUGUUAAUUACCCUCUAUACACCCCGAUAUGUUAAUUACCCUCUUUAUACACACCAAUAUGUUAAUUACCCUCUUUAUACACACCAAUAUGUUAAUUACCCUCUUUAUACACACCAAUAUGUUAAUUACCCUCUAUACACCCCGAUAUGUUAAUUACCCUCUUUAUACACAACAAUAUGUUAAUUACCCUCUUUAUACACAACAAUAUGUUAAUUACCCUCUUUAUACACACCAAUAUGUUAAUUACCCUCUUUAUACACAACAAUAUGUUAAUUACCCUCUUUAUACACAACAAUAUGUUAAUUACCCUCUUUAUACACAACAAUAUGAAAAUGUUUCUAAAGGAUUACCGAGCGACUAUCAUACUGUCACACACACAUCUGUGUGGCUCGGAGACAGUUUAGUUGUCUCGGACAGAUACUGAUUAGCUGACUGACUGGUUAAUGACACGCAUAUAGUCCUGCGGGUUAUUGUAUAAAUAUGUUCAUAUGUAGCCUAUGUAAAUAUAUUAGCAGUUUGGUCAUGAAGAAACACUAGAUGUGUGUGUUUCAUUCUUACAUUUUUUAUAAAUUUAAGUGUUGUAAUAUAAUAGCCUACACAAUGUCAUCAUAAUGUACUCUGUGGUGGGUUUUGUGUGCGUUUUUGUUUUAUUAUUUCUUCACUUUAUAAAUCAAAUGCUGUAACAAUGUUGUAAUUAAUGUAUGGAAUUGUCAUAAAUCUGCUGCUGGCAAAGCUUAAACGAAUUGUCUGAUUCUUCUGCCACUCAAGACCAGCCAAUGUUGCGUAUAACUGCCACUAGGGGUCGCUUGAAUAUAAUUUAGGGAGAGAGGUGGUAGAGAAACGGUUUUGAUAGUUUUGCAGCACUCAUGCAACAUCGCCAACAGCGUACCCAAGACAAUUUGCUAUAUAGGUCCACUUGACAGUCUCUGUUCUCGGACGCCGCUCUUGUAGAGGCAGAACGCAUCACACACGAUUUGUUCAGCUUUAAGACUUUUGAAGCAUGGAUUUGAUAGUUAAAGUGUAGGAGAUUGUGUUAUUGCAGAGGACGGAAUUAAAUCAAUCUCAUUAUCACUAACUCCAUGCACUGCUCAACGGGUAAGUCGUUUUUUUUUUUACCAGUAUUAAUUUGUUAUAGGGCCCAGUUAAAAUAAAACAUUGUGUUCUGUUUAAUAUGCAUAUAAAUACGUUCAUCAUAACGCUGUCUAUAUUGCAUUAUUUUCUAAAGGUGGGAGAAGUCUGUAGGGUUAGCCUUUACAUUACGUCAGUGGUGUAAAGUAGCCUACUAAAGUAAAAACACUAAAGUAUUACUUAAGCCGUUUAUUUUUGGAUAACUGUACUUUAUCAUUAUUUUUGUUUAACUUUUACUGGUAAAGCAGGACAGAAUUAUGAUCCCGUUCAAGCACCAAUCAAUAUAACGCGUUGUCUCUUCCCUACUGCCUCGGAUCUGGAGGACUCACUAAACACAAAUACUGCGUUUGUCAAAGAUGUCUUGAGUGUUGAUGUGACUGUGGUUAAAAAAACAACAACAAUAAUCGUGCCUUCUGGUUUGCUUAAUAUAAGGCUUUUGAUGUAUAGCAUUUACUUUUACUCAAGUAUGACACUACUGUACUCAAGUAGUAUUUUACAUGGCGAAUUAUUUUUACUUGAUUCAUUUUCUAUUAAAACCUCUUUACGUUGACUCAAGUAUUAUCAUUUAGUACGUUCCCACCACAGCAUUACGUUAAUAUUGGUAUAACAAUUGUUUAUCAUGUUUAUAUAUUUCUGUAUCCCAGUGCAGUUUUUAAUCAAGGAUUAUGACAAAUAUAGCAUCAUAUUGAAGUUGGAUGAAAUGGUAUUUUGUGCAAUUUGCCUUUUUUGACUAGGAUCAACUUUUAGCCUACAUAUUGCUAGUAGGCUUAUCUCAAACUUCUAUUGAAUUAAUAUCGUCAAUGUAUCACCUUAUAUGCUCAAUAGACCCCCCCCCCCUCUUUCCCCUCCAAAACAAUGUGCUAUUAUAGUCAAAUAGCCUAAUCAUGGUAUUGCAUGGUAGUGAAUCCAUCAACAGAACAAUUUGUAAGUCGCUCUGGAUAAGAGCGUCUGCUAAAUGACUUAAAUGUAAUGUAAUGUAACAAUUACAGAAAACCCACAGGUUGGUACAUCAACAGAACAAUUACAGAAACCCCAUAGGUUGGUACAUCAACAGAACAAUUACAGAAAACCCCAUAGGUUGGUACAUCAACAGAACAAUUACAGAAAACCCCAUAGGUUGGUACAUCAACAGAACAAUUACAGAAAACCCCAUAGGUUGGUACAUCAACAGAACAAUUACAGAAAACCCCAUAGGUUGGUACAUCAACAGAACAAUUACAGAAAACCCCAUAGGUUGGUACAUCAACAGAACAAUUACAGAAAACCCCAUAGGUUGGUACAUCAACAGAACAAUUACAGAAAACCCCAUAGGUUGGUACAUCAACAGAACAAUUACAGAAAAACCCCAUAGGUUGGUACAUCAACAGAACAAGCCUUAACAGGCUCUGCACUCCUCAAAUGCCCACGUUGAAUCAAGUCUGGUGAUAUAAUGAUAUAGAAUGUCUGGACUCCCCAGUCUUUGAUUUGGACAUUAAGGAGUCGUCCACACACCUUGUUACUGAGAACUAAACAAACAGCUGUUGAAGAUGUUACCGCUGUGCAUACACAUGCACACUGUUUGGCCCCUGAGGACCAGUGUGCUCUAACGUGUCCUAUUCUUGUAUAGGCCUACUGCCUGUGAAAGGCCAGGUUUUCCUUUACUCUGUGGCAAUGAGGUUGACGUUUAAGUGUGUUGGCUGUGCCAUGCACGCUUUGAUAUGGAAACAGUCAAACAUGGCCCAGUAAUAAUCUAUGCUGUUAUAUUCAGUCAAAUCCAAGUCAGUUUGAUACAGGAAUGGAGUUUCUGUGUUGUGUUUUUCAAAGAGAUGCAUGAGGGGCAUGGAUUCAAGGGUCUGUUAUGGGACUGUUUCAUCUGGAAAUACUGGUUUCUAUGUUUACAUUCACUCCAUAUACUAUGUUUUAUUCACGAUAAGAUGUCAGAUCUACUUUUUUAAUGUGUAUAGUGGAAUAAGAGAGGAGUCGUUUCAAAACGUUGCCCAACGGGGCAGACGGCAUGUUUGAACCCAGACGGUUUACGUCGUAAAAGACCCAAUGAACUGCCUAUAAAAGACUGGUGGGUUCGCUCUCAUCUGGUCGUGUGGCUUUUAUCAGUUUCUUUUUCAUGUGGAGGUUGCCUCUGUAGCUGAUCUGAGGUCAGUUUGGAUAUGUACCUCCACAGGAGAAGGGAUAAUCAUUGUGGUUGUGUAAACAGAUCCCAAAUCAGCUCUUAGGGACACCCCCUGCCUGGAGGGCUGUUUCUCCUUGCUUUGUCACAACCUCCCACUGGCUCUCUUAAACAAGUGGAUUUCCCGGCAACGCAGACACUGGAGCAUAACCACAAGUGUUUUUUAUAGCGGCUGAACCACGCUGAGCUUGGCUGGCAGACCUCUAAGCCCAUGCCCAGACAGACAGUGCUUUACAGUAGGCCUGAAUCCUCUAGGCUGCUGUAUGUGUACAUCCACCGUGCUCCAUCAUGGCUUAGUACUGGCUGUUAUGGUGGUUCCUCUGUUUCUUCUGUCGUGGACUCAUCUUGCGUCAUUCACAGAUUUUUGCUUCUGGUUUGAUUGCACAAACGUGUUUUUUUGAGACCGGGGGCUGGUGCAUUGCAGACAUCAAAGCAGCACAGCUGGCCCUCUGUUUGCCAGGUGAUUACAGUCCCAGUGGGUAGGAGUGCAGCACAGCUGGCCCUCUGUUUGCCAGGUGAUUACAGUCCCAGUGGGUAGGAGUGCAGCACAGCUGGCCCUCUGUUUGCCAGGUGAUUACAGUCCCAGUGGGUAGGAGUGCAGCACAGCUGGCCUUCUGUUUGCCAGGUGAUUACAGUCCCAGUGGGUAGGAGUGCAGCACAGCUGGCCUUCUGUUUGCCAGGUGAUUACACUCUCAGUGGGUAGGAGUGCAGCACAGCUGGCCCUCUGUUUGCCAGGUGAUUACAGUCCCAGUGGGUAGGAGUGCAGCACAGCUGGCCUUCUGUUUGCCAGGUGAUUACAGUCCCAGUGGGUAGGAGUGCAGCACAGCUGGCCUUCUGUUUGCCAGGUGAUUACACUCUCAGUGGGUAGGAGUGCAGCACAGCUGGCCUUCUGUUUGCCAGGUGAUUACAGUCCCAGUGGGUAGGAGUGCAGCACAGCUGGCCUUCUGUUUGCCAGGUGAUUACAGUCUCAGUGGGUAGGAGUGCAGCACAGCUGGCCUUCUGUUUGCCAGGUGAUUACACUCUCAGUGGGUAGGAGUGCAGCACAGCUGGCCUUCUGUUUGCCAGGUGAUUACAGUCUCAGUGGGUAGGAGUGCAGCACAGCUGGCCUUCUGUUUGCCAGGUGAUUACAGUCCCAGUGGGUAGGAGUGCAGCACAGCUGGCCUUCUGUUUGCCAGGUGAUUACAGUCCCAGUGGGUAGGAGUGCAGCACAGCUGGCCUUCUGUUUGCCAGGUGAUUACACUCUCAGUGGGUAGGAGUGCAGCACAGCUGGCCUUCUGUUUGCCAGGUGAUUACAGUCCCAGUGGGUAGGAGUGCAGCACAGCUGGCCUUCUGUUUGCCAGGUGAUUACAGUCUCAGUGGGUAGGAGUGCAGCACAGCUGGCCUUCUGUUUGCCAGGUGAUUACAGUCCCAGUGGGUAGGAGUGCAGCACAGCUGGCCCUCUGUUUGCCAGGUGAUUACAGUCCCAGUGGGUAGGAGUGCAGCACAGCUGGCCUUCUGUUUGCCAGGUGAUUACAGUCCCAGUGGGUAGGAGUGCAGAACAGCUGGCCUUCUGUUUGCCAGGUGAUUACACUCUCAGUGGGUAGGAGUGCAGCACAGCUGGCCCUCUGUUUGCCAGGUGAUUACAGUCCCAGUGGGUAGGAGUGCAGCACAGCUGGCCUUCUGUUUGCCAGGUGAUUACAGUCCCAGUGGGUAGGAGUGCAGCACAGCUGGCCUUCUGUUUGCCAGGUGAUUACAGUCCCAGUGGGUAGGAGUGCAGCACAGCUGGCCUUCUGUUUGCCAGGUGAUUACAGUCUCAGUGGGUAGGAGUGCAGCACAGCUGGCCUUCUGUUUGCCAGGUGAUUACACUCUCAGUGGGUAGGAGUGCAGCACAGCUGGCCCUCUG